GACAUUAACGUGAACGUAAACGUA
rnacentral:siRNA from 1 species